ensembl:lncRNA
UUUUUAGUAUUAUUAGUAAUGACAAAAACAUGUCAUGUGGAGAUACUGAGACAUUGUGUGUGUGAAAUAUUUAAUUAAUAACCUAAUCAUGUGUCUUUACAGUAAUCGACAAUGACAGUAACAGGAGCCAGCAUCACACCUCACCAUCUCAUUUCUGACAGAAAACAGAAAUACUGUGGGAUGAGAGAACAUCAUGAUGUGUGAGGAUUAAAGUAAUCAAGAAACAAAUCCAACAAGGCAAAACAUUGAGGUAGGAGAAAACCUCAGAUGCCUGUAACUCUCCAUCUGCAAGUUCAUGAUGUGGUUCGUUUAAAUCAAGAGACCGCAUGGACAGCUCAGUCAAUGGUCUCCUUUAGGAGCUUGAGAUUGCAGAUGUUCCCUCACCUUUGACCAAUGAAUUUCCAUGAUGUUUCCACGACCUUUUUAGCCUUAUAAAUGUCAUCACAUUUGGAAAUGUUAAGCAUUGUGCAUUGAGAGCAAACUAAUUAUUUAUGUUCUCAGUGAUCAAAGAGAUUCUCCCCUGCUGUUCC